CAACCCUCAAGCCCCCCCGGGGGCUCGGUGUUGGGGACCGGCCCUGCCUUCCAGCGGGUGCCGCCCCCGAAAUACAGUGGCGGUCCUGCCGCAGCCCCCUCUGCGUAGUAACUUACAACCUCGCACCGGAGCGCGGCCUGGCCACGCCGUAAAACCCCCCACUUCUGAAAGG
rnacentral:misc_RNA from 1 species